UACAUGAAAGAAAUUGUGGAGGACAAGAACUUGGAUUUUAGUAUUAAGUGGGGAACGAGGUCAAAUUUGGUUUACACAGACAAGGAUAUUGAUGAGAUCCGAGCGGAAUGGGCUAAGCAUGUUUUGAAGUUCCCAGAAAAUUAAGUAUCAACCUAUAUUUCUGCUUUUGUUUCUGGUAGCUUGAUAACUUGCAGUAGUAGUGUCUAGGAACUGCUUUUGUGCAUUUUGAUAGAACUGAUGGAAAGUGUUGAACAAUAUAAUGCAUGCAGUUGCUGUAACUACUAUAUGGAUGCUACUAGGUUUUUGUCUUAGUUAGAUUAGGAUCCAUGCAACAAUGGCAGGGGUUAAUGUAAAGGCUAGCAUGCUAGCUAGUUUAAUUAGUAUUAUGCUACUGAUGGGAAUGUAUUUUGGUGGGUUAAUUGAUGCAAUGAGGAAUUUGCUGA